AUCACUUCUCCACCUCUUGGCUAAGAUCAAAUAUGGUAUCUGUUCUUAUCAGUUUAAUAUCUGAUAUAUCCUCUAUCCAAGGACAAUGUAUUAAAUGGAUUUUUGGAGCAGGGAGUUAGAAUAGGAGCUUUCUCCAUCCACCCCACGCAUUGACCUGAUAUUGAAGUACCUCCAGGAACAGUGCAUCCCCU
ensembl:snRNA U2 U2 spliceosomal RNA